ACUAUUUUGGCAGAAAAGUGUAAUAGAUUUAGAAUCUAGUAAUGUGGAGUUAGUAUCUACAAGUAGUA
rnacentral:tRNA from 1 species